rnacentral:rRNA from 1 species
UACGGAGGAUCCAAGCGUUAUCCGGAAUCAUUGGGUUUAAAGGGUCCGUAGGCGGUUUAAUAAGUCAGUGGUGAAAGCCCAUCGCUCAACGGUGGAACGGCCAUUGAUACUGUUAGACUUGAAUUAUUAGGAAGUAACUAGAAUAUGUAGUGUAGCGGUGAAAUGCUUAGAUAUUACAUGGAAUACCAAUUGCGAAGGCAGGUUACUACUAAUGGAUUGACGCUGAUGGACGAAAGCGUGGGUAGCGAACAGG